rnacentral:rRNA from 1 species
GUUUCCGUAGGUGAACCUGCUGCUGGAUCAUCA